rnacentral:rRNA from 1 species
AUACGUAGGGGGCGAGCGUUGUCCGGAAUGACUGGGCGUAAAGGGCGUGUAGGCGGCGGUGUAAGUCUGGAGUGAAAGUCCCGCAUUCAAUGUGGGAAUUGCUUUGGAUACUGCAGUGCUAGAGUGCGGAAGAGGUAAGUGGAUUUCCCAGUGUAGCGGAGAAAUGCGUAGAGAUUGGGAGGAACACCAGUGGCGAAGGCGACUUACUGGGCCGUAACUGACGCUGAGGCGCGAAAGCGUGGGGAGCGAACAGGAUUAGAUACCCUGGUAGUCCACGCGGUAAACGAUGAAUGCUAGGUGUUGCGGGUAUCGACCCCUGCAGUGCCGGAGUAAACACAAUAAGCAUUCCGCCUGGGGAGUACGGCCGCAAGGUUGAAACUCAAAUGAAUGGACGGGG